rnacentral:rRNA from 1 species
GUACGGAGGGUGCAAGCGUUACUCGGAAUCACUGGGCGUAAAGCGCGCGCAGGCGGCUAUUUAAGUUGGAUGUGAAAGCCUACGGCUCAACCGUAGAACUGCAUCCAAAACUAUUUAGCUAGAGUGUGGGAGAGGAAGAUGGAAUUAGUUGUGUAGGGGUAAAAUCCGUAGAGAUAACUAGGAAUACCAAAAGCGAAGGCAAUCUUCUGGAACACUACUGACGCUGAGGCGCGAAAGCGUGGGGAGCAAACGGGAUUAGAAACCCUAGUAGUCC